UACAGAGGGGGCUAGCGUUGUUCGGAAUUACUGGGCGUAAAGGGCGCGUAGGUGGCCUGUUAAGUCGAACGUGAAAUCCCCGGGCUCAACCCGGGAACUGCGUCCGAGACUGGCAGGCUCGAAUCCGGGAGAGGGAUGUGGAAUUCCAGGUGUAGCGGUGAAAUGCGUAGAUAUCUGGAGGAACACCGGUGGCGAAGGCGGCAGUCCUGGACCGGUAUUGACGCUGAGGCGCGAAAGCGUGGGGAGCAAACAGGG
rnacentral:rRNA from 1 species